rnacentral:tRNA from 21 species
GGAGACGUGGCCGAGAGGCUGAAGGCACCGCUUUGCUAAAGCGGCAUACCCCAAAAGGGUAUCGAGGGUUCGAAUCCCUCCGUCUCCGCCA